CGCGCUCCCUCUCUUUCUCUCUCUCUCUCUCUCUCUCUCACUGCGAGAGGGUUGAUAGAGGGUUUUGUUCCCCAAAUCCAGCAAUCUAUCUUUCCCGCGAUCAUCCACUAAGUCAGCAACUCGUCGUUGAAGCAGCAACGAGGAGAUCUGUCCGUUCGGCAGAUGGGCAUCUGAUUGGAGCAGAUGGUCUUCGGGCAUUGCAGGUAUUGCUCGCAGUGAUGGUGUUGGGGGAUUGCAGUCUUGAGUUGCAGCAGGGUGAUUGGUGCUACGUGGGAAACUAGAAAGAGCCCAGAUCAGAUCAGAGAAAAUGCUUUGAUAAGAUGGAAAAAAAAAAAAAACCUAGUGAGUUGAGAAGUUUUUAGAGAUUUUAGGGAUAAUGCCGGUUGAUGCUUCCGCUGUUUUAGUGUUUCCAAAACAGCUAAAAGAGAUGGGUAAAGUAAUCAUCAGUCUUAAUUUCCAACUUAUAUUGCUGUCUCUGCAUAAGAUUUGUAUAUUUCCAUGUUUGCACCUAACAUGAAGCUUGUAGUUGGCUGUAAAAUAUAGAUCAUGAAUAGAGUGAUAGAACAAUCAUGAACCUGAAUGGAGUAUUAGAAUGCAAAGGUCCACUUGCCUUUUGAGACAUAGGAGUUGUCCUGCUUCCAUAUCACUGCAUACACGCGGCAUACACCGACGAGAAUGGAACCGUUUAUUCAGGAAAAAAACUAAAUAUUCGUUGUACUUGAAUUCCCUAGAAUAAUGAUAAUUUUGUUGAAUUUCAGUUCUUUUUUUUUUUGGAAAAUUGGCACAUUUUCUUCUAUAGAUUGCAAAAUUUUAUCUUCUUGAGUUGCAAUUUUGGGAGUAAAAUGAAAAAUUGCAAUGAUCAAUGGACGGAUGCCGAGGAUCUCCAUGAAUGCAUUUAAUGCAUGGAACCAUUGGAAAGCAUGAAUCAAUGCUAAUUAUACACUCGAGAUUCAUGAUUAAUGCACGGUAAUCUCACCUGUAACUUUCUUUAUUUAUCAAUUUCAGACAUGUUUGGAUGAGCUUCUGUGUAUGCAGAUUGCAAUCAGAUUCGUAGGGCGUAAUUGAAGUUUAUAGAAGGAUUUGUUUUUCGUUCAUCAAUUGCUUGAAGGUCGUGUAAAAUAUUCGUUUCUUUGGCGAAUGAUUUUAUGCAAGUCUACCUUUCAGGAAUGAUCCACUCCCAGUUUUUCGUUUCUUUGAUUUUAACUUUUCAAUGCCAUGAUCAAUCUAAUACAAAAUCCAUGUUCACCUGCAGUGUUGAUGAGCAGGUAGCCAGCCAAUGACAUACAACCACUAGAUUCCAUUGCUGAGAAGCAAGCCCAAAUCUUCUCUGAAGAAUGCAAAUUGUUUCCUGCAGAUGUCCAAAUUCAAUCCAUAUUUCCACUGUAAGCAGUUCUAUAUCCAGUUCUAAACAGAGAUGUAGUUAAGACAAAUUCUUUGUUGUCUAUACAAAUUCUAAAAUUCUUAAAACAACACUAACAUUUCAAAUAUUUGUUCUUGAUAUGCAAGAAUUCUUUCAAAAAAGUGGUAUGAAAAAUCUUGAACCUUUGUCUUUUUCUUUUUCUAA